AAAGAUCGACCUCAGAUCAGACGAGGCAACCCGCUGAAUUUAAGCAUAUUACUAAGCGGAGGAAAAGAAACUACCGGAUUCCCUCAGUAGCGGCGAGCGAAGAGGGAAGGGCCCAGCGCCGAAUCCCUGUCCGACGGGCGGGCAUGGGAAAUGUGGCGUAUAGAAGACCGCUUUGCCCGGUGUCGAUCGGGGGCCUGAGUCCUUCUGAUCGAGGCUAAACCCGUGGACGGUGUGAGGCCGGUAACGGCCCCCGUCGCGCCGGGGUCCGGUCUUCGAGUCGGGUUGCUUGGGAAUGCAGCCCAAAGUGGGUGGUAAACUCCAUCUAAGGCUAAAUACCGGCACGAGUCCGAUAGUCGACAAGUACCGAAGGGAAAG
rnacentral:rRNA from 1 species